rnacentral:rRNA from 1 species
UGGGGAAUAUUGCACAAUGGGCGCAAGCCUGAUGCAGCCAUGCCGCGUGUAUGAAGAAGGCCUUCGGGUUGUAAAGUACUUUCAGCGGGGAGGAAGGCGAUAAGGUUAAUAACCUUGUCGAUUGACGUUACCCGCAGAAGAAGCACCGGCUAACUCCGUGCCAGCAGCCGCGGUAAUACGGAGGGUGCAAGCGUUAAUCGGGAUUACUGGGCGUAAAGCGCACGCAGGCGGUCUGUCAAGUCGGAUGUGAAAUCCCCGGGCUCAACCUGGGAACUGCAUUCGAAACUGGCAGGCUAGAGUCUUGUAGAGGGGGGUAGAAUUCCAGGUGUAGCUGUGAAAUGCGUAGAGAUCUGGAGGAAUACCGGUGGCGAAGGCGGCCCCCUGGACAAAGACUGACGCUCAGGUGCGAAAGCGUGGGGAGCAAACA